UGGAGUAGUACUCAAGUGGCUGAAGAGGCGCCCUUGCUAAGGGUGUAGGUCGGGAAACCGACGCCAGAGUUCGAAUCUCUGCUACUCCGU
rnacentral:tRNA from 3 species